GCUUUCUUUUCUUCCUCUGGAGCAGUUAUGGCGGCGGCGAAGACCCUGAACCCCAAGGCCAAGGUGGCCGGAGCGCAGGCGGCGCUGGCGUUCAACAUUAGCGGGGCGCGGGGUCUGCAGGACGUGCUGAGGACCAACCUGGGGCCCAAAGGGACCAUAAAGAUUCUUGUUUCUGGCGCUGGAGACAUCAAGCUUACUAAAGACACAGGAGUUGACGAUCAGCCCUGGCCAACAUGGUGAAACUCAGUCUCUACUAAAAAUACAAAAAUUAGCCGGGCACGGUCCUGCACAGUGCGCUGCUUCACGAAAUGCAAAUUCAACACCCAACAGCUUCCUUAAUAGCAAAGGUAGCAACAGCCCAGGAUGAUAUAACUGGUGAUGGUACGACUUCCAAUGUCCUAAUCAUUGGAGAGCUGCUGAAACAGGCAGAUCUCUACAUUUCUGAAGGCCUUCAUCCCAGAAUAAUCACUGAAGGAUUUGAAGCUGUGAAGGAAAAGCCCUUCAUUUUUUGGAAGAAGUCAAAGUAAGCAGAGAGAUGGACAAGGAAACACUUAAAGAUGUGGCCAGGGCAUCUCUUUGUACUAAAGUUCAUGCUGAACUUGCAGAUGUCUUAACAGAGGCUGUAGUGGGCUCCAUUUUGGCCAUUAAAAGAAAAGAUGAACCUAUUGAUCUCUUCAUGAUUUUGUGAUCAUUGACAAGAAACAUAAAUCUGAAACUGAUACAAGAGAAGUGAAUUCUGGCGUUUUUUACAAGAGUGCAGAAAGAGAAAAACUCAUAAAAGCUGAAAGAAAAUUCAUUGAAGAUAGAGUUAAAACAAAUAAUAGAACUGAAAAGGAAAGUCUGUAGUAAUUCAGAUAAAGGAUUUGUUAUUAAUCAAAAGGGAAUUGACCCCUUUUCCUUAGAUGCUCUUUCAAAGAAGGCAUAGUCGCUCUUCACAGAGCUAAAAGGAGGAAUAUGGAGAGGCUGACUCUUGCUUGUGGUGGGGUGGCCCUGAAUUCUUUUGAGGACCUAAGUCCUGACUGCUUGAGACAUGCAGGACUUGUAUAUGAGUAUACAUUGGGAGAAGUUCACCUUUAUUGAGAAGUGUAACAACCCUCGUUCUGUCACAUUAUUGAUCAAAGGACCAAAUAAGCCCACACUUAGAUCAAAGAUGCAGUAAGGGAUGGCUUGAGGGCUGUCAAAAAUGCUAUUGAUGAUGGCUGUGUGGUUCCGGUGCUGGUGCCGUGGAAGUGGCAAUGGCAGAAGCCCUGAAUAAAUAUAAGCUCAGUGUAAAGGGCAAGGCACAGCUUGGAGUCCAAGCAUUUGCUGAUGUGUUGCUCGUUAUUCCCAAGGUGAGCCCGUGGUAGCAGCAGAAGCAGGCAUUAUGGGAUAACGAUUGUGUAAAGAAACAGCUUCUUCAUUCCUGCACUGGUUGCCACCAACAUUCUCUUGGUUGAUGAGAUCAUGCGAGCUGGAAUCUUCUCUGAAAGGUUGAAUUGAAGCUUCCUCUGUAUCUGAGUCUUGAAGACUCUGCAAAGUGAUCCUGAAGAAUACAGCUGUGGAAUUUUUGUCCAAGCUUCAAAUGAGUUUCAAGGGAAUUUUCCCAUGUGAAAAAAGGAGAGAACACUGGCAUCUGUUGAAAUUCGGAAGUUCUGAAAUUAUAAUCACAGUAUUUUUUAAAAAUUGCACUGAAGUGUACACAGAUAAAGCAGGUCUUUCACCCAGUGAACAGGAUGUUUUGCUUUAGCAGCAGUGACAUAAAAUUCCAUGUUAAAUAAGCAUAUAUUACCUACCUUAUUAAAUAUUCCUUGAAAAAGCA
ensembl:lncRNA novel transcript